CUGUAGCGUUACUGACGCUGAAGCUCGAAAGCGUGGGUAUCGAACAGGAUUAGAUACCCUGGUAGUCCACGCGGUAAACGAUGGAUGCUCGCUGUUUGCCUUAUAUGGUAAGCGGCCAAGCGAAAGCAUUAAGCAUCCCACCUGGGGAGUACGCCGGCAACGGUGAAACUCAAAGGAAUUGACGGGGGCCCGCACAAGCGGAGGAACAUGUGGUUUAAUUCGAUGAUACGCGAGGAACCUUACCCGGGCUUGAACUGUAGGUGAACGAUUCAGAGAUGAUGAGGUCCUUCGGGACGCCUAUGGAGGUGCUGCAUGGUUGUCGUCAGCUCGUGCCGUGAGGUGUCGGCUUAAGUGCCAUAACGAGCGCAACCCCUUUCCGCAGUUGCCAUCAGGUAGAGCUGGGCACUCUGCGGAUACUGCCACCGCAAGGUGUGAGGAAGGUGGGGAUGACGUCAAAUCAGCACGGCCCUUACGUCCGGGGCUACACACGUGUUACAAUGGCGCAUACAGCGAGUUGGUCUUUGGCAACAGAGGUCUAAUCAGUAAAAUGCGUCGUAGUUCGGAUUGGGGUCUGCAACCCGACCCCAUGAAGCUGGAUUCG
rnacentral:rRNA from 1 species